rnacentral:misc_RNA from 1 species
GAUGAAGAACGUAGCGAAAUGCGAUAAGUAAUGUGAAUUGCAGAAUUCAGUGAAUCAUCGAAUCUUUGAACGCACAUUGCGCCCGCCAGCACUCUGGCGGGCAUGCCUGUCCGAGCGUCAUUUCAACCCUCAGGGCCCCUUCGGGGGACCUGGCGUUGGGGAUCGGCCCGCCCCCGUGCGGCGCCGUCCCCGAAAUAUAGUGGCGGUCUCGCUGCAGCCUCCACUGCGUAGUAGCACACCUCGCACUGGAGAGCGGCGCGGCCACGCCGUGAAACCCCCAACUUCUGAAUGUUGACCUCGGAUCAGGUAGGAAUACCCGCUGAACUUAAGCAUAUCAAUAAGCGGAGGA